AUCUGAAGUGUGAAGAAGAUUUGAACACCCAAGAAAAGAUGUGUCACCAUUUUGAACACCUGGUCGGAGUUUAACUUCACCUACAACGUGACUUGCAUUUAAAACGAAAAUGGGAGGGGCGGAAUCUUUGGCAACUAUUAUCGUCUUCAUGGGAGCGUAUACAGUAGAAUCUCUAUCGUCAUCAACAUCUGGGACUUUCCGAAGCCAGUACACGACGAUUCCAAUGCUACCCACCGUCCAAACCAGACCCGUGUUUUUGAAUGAGCCCUAUUUUGGAGUUGUUAUCGAGA